UACGGAGGGUGCAAGCGUUGUUCGGAAUUAUUGGGCGUAAAGCGCGUGUAGGCGGCUUUGCAAGUCGGGUGUGAAAGCCCUCAGCUCAACUGAGGAAGUGCGCCCGAAACUGCAGAGCUUGAGUACCGGAGAGGAUGGUGGAAUUCCCCAAGUAGAGGUGAAAUUCGUAGAUAUGGGGAGGAACACCGGUGGCGAAGGCGACCAUCUGGACGGAUACUGACGCUGAGACGCGAAAGCGUGGGGAGCAAACAGG
rnacentral:rRNA from 1 species